rnacentral:lncRNA from 1 species
ACGGUGGCUCCGCGCUGGCGGCGGGUUCCCCCACAAGGUCUUGGGGAAAGGAGCAUGCGCUGGAAGCUGUGUGCUGUUGGUUUUGAGGAUCUUCAGUAAGCUGAAAGCGGAGAGUCAGGGGCCUUGUGUCCUACCAUGGUAUUUGCUAACGUUUAGAGAGUGCUUCCCCUUGCCGAGCACUGGUUCUUGAGGCUGGAAAGUCCAAGAGCAUGGCACUGGCAUCUGGUGAGGGCCUUCCUGUUGCAUUAUCCCAUGGCAG